CGGCAGCAUGGAGGAGCUUGCUCCUCUGAUGGCGAGUGGCGAACGGGUGAGUAAAGCAUCGGAACGUGCCGUGUAGUGGGGGAUAACGUAGCGAAAGUUACGCUAAUACCGCAUACGCACCGAGGUGGAAAGCAGGGGAUCGCAAGACCUUGCGCUAUACGAGCGGCCGAUGUCAGAUUAGCUAGUUGGUAGGGUAAAGGCCUACCAAGGCGACGAUCUGUAGCGGGUCUGAGAGGAUGAUCCGCCACACUGGGACUGAGACACGGCCCAGACUCCUACGGGAGGCAGCAGUGGGGAAUUUUGGACAAUGGGGGAAACCCUGAUCCAGCCAUGCCGCGUGAGUGAAGAAGGCCUUCGGGUUGUAAAGCUCUUUCGGCUGGGAAGAAAUCGCACAGGCUAAUACUCUGUGUGGAUGACGGUACCAGCAUAAGAAGCACCGGCUAACUACGUGCCAGCAGCCGCGGUAAUACGUAGGGUGCGAGCGUUAAUCGGAAUUACUGGGCGUAAAGCGUGCGCAGGCGGCUGUGCAAGACAGAUGUGAAAUCCCCGGGCUCAACCUGGGGAACUGCAUUUGUGACUGCACGACUAGAGUAC
rnacentral:rRNA from 1 species